rnacentral:rRNA from 1 species
CCUACGGGUGGCAGCAGUGGGGAAUAUUGGACAAUGGGGGCAACCCUGAUCCAGCCAUGCCGCGUGUGUGAAGAAGGCCCUCGGGUUGUAAAGCACUUUCAGUGAGGAAGAACGCCUGGUGGUUAAUACCCAUCAGGAAAGACAUCACUCACAGAAGAAGCACCGGCUAACUCCGUGCCAGCAGCCGCGGUAAUACGGAGGGUGCGAGCGUUAAUCGGAAUUACUGGGCGUAAAGCGCGCGUAGGUGGCUUGAUAAGCCGGUUGUGAAAGCCCCGGGCUCAACCUGGGAACGGCAUCCGGAACUGUCAAGCUAGAGUGCAGGAGAGGAAGGUAGAAUUCCCGGUGUAGCGGUGAAAUGCGUAGAGAUCGGGAGGAAUACCAGUGGCGAAGGCGGCCUUCUGGACUGACGCUGACACUGAGGUGCGAAAGCGUGGGUAGCAAACAGGAUUAGAUACCCUAGUAGUC